GACAGAGGAGGCAAGCGUUGUCCGGAUUAACUGGGCGUAAAGCGUCCGCAGGUGGCACGGUCAGUGGGGUGUGAAAGCCGGUGGCUUAACCGCCGGAGGCCAUCCCAAACUGCCGCGCUGGAGUCGGGCAGAGGGUGCCGGAAUUGCCGGUGUAGUGGUGAAAUGCGUAGAGAUCCGGAGGAAGACCGGUGGCGAAGGCGGUCUGCUGGGCAGUUUCUGACACUGAGGCGCGACAGCGUGGGGAGCAAACAGG
rnacentral:rRNA from 1 species